CAUAAUCAUCCAUAAUAUUACAUGAGAUAUAGAAAAUUGAUUCAUCACUUUACUUAUUAUCAUGCAUAAAAGAUGAUAAAUCAUGGGAAAGAGGAAUGGAGUUUGGCUUCUCCGUUCUUUGAUGCGCAGAGUGCGAUGUUAUGCUCUCAGAAAAAAUAUUUGUAUUUCCGUUAAAAUACAAUUUAGUUUCCAGGUUAGACUGCGAUUAAAUCCGUUUUAGUUAAAUUUUAGAAAUUGUCGGCUAUGUAUUGUAAAACUAGCGAGCGUCUAAACAUGGAAGAAACCUAAGUGAUACAAUAACGAUUAUGCCAUGCCUUAAAUCGUGGUGCAAGGUCUGCAAAAAUACCAUCGAGAAAGACGCCGUCAGAAUCGCCAGAAUAGUGCACCUUGAUGGUUAAAUGCUACUAGGGGUAAUGCUUGUACUGGAAAAUUAAAACUUCCACUUCUUAGGCGUGCAUAGAACACAAAAGUCUUCCUAUUUUAAGACAGUAGGCUUCCCAUAUGGCAAGCAUAUGGAGGAUGUUCUCUUUGAAGACUAUGCCCACACAUACCAAUUGCAUUAUUGUACACAGUCCUUACAUGUAUUGACAAUUUAAGUUUAUUGGAUGCUUCA